rnacentral:lncRNA from 1 species
ACCAAUUCUUCCUUGUCUGUGAGCUGCAGCAGUGAAAAGAACCAUCACUUGUUCACAAUUCUGAAAAAAAAAACAACAGAAGAAGAAGAAGAACAAGAAGAAGAAGAAGAAGAAGAAGAAGAAGAAGCUUACUUUAAGACCUCUUCUAAGGAUUAGAGUCUGUGUGGCAAAGAUGAGGUAGGCGAGGAGAAGACAGCCUAACACACCUUCUACCCAUCAGCUGGAAACACAAUGCCAAAGACAGGCCAGAAUGGAUUUCUAGUUGGUUUGUCAUCACUGAGCCGCAGCAAAAUGGAUGUUGCCAUGCCUGUACCUUCUACAAGUGAUGUGGAGUAUGACACUGAAGACGCUUCACCACCCUCUUUUCACACCAACAAAUCAUUCAUCACCACACUGUGCUUCUGUGUACUGUCUGCUGCUGGUAAGUACCAAAAUUGUCUUGUAAAAAUGGUAGAAAUGGGUUUGGGAGUCAGUAAGGUCAAGGUUUUGGAAUAUAUCCCUA